AAUCUGCUUUGCCUUAAUUCACCAGCAGAUGGCGCGCGGCCAGCUGUGCAGUAGGUCUGCCGGGGCCCCAGGGCAAAGACUCACCUCUCACCCCUGCGGGACUGUGGCGUGGGAAUGCAGUGGGGGCACGUUCCCAGGGGUCUGACUCCUGUGGGCGCGCUGUUUCCAUCAGACGGCCGUGCUUGCUACUGACUUGAGGAGAACCCCUAGGGUCCUCCAUUAGAUCCUGCAGCUCCUUCCUUGCAAACGGUAAGGGGACCCUGGCCUUGGGGAGGGGGGAGCGGUGUUCUGCAAAGAGAACCAGAGCGCGAUCCCGAGCCCACCAUGGGACCUGAGAGACACCCCCUCCCCUUCUUAGUACGUGCGAAAACAAAAAUACUCUGAAUUUGUCUAGUCGAGAAGCUCUUUGCAAGGUGGUGCUUUGAAAACUGGAUGUUAGCUUCAGGGAGCUCAAGGCAGGAGGGCUGGAAGACCUAUCCACCCUCCUGCCCUGGAGACCUGGAGCCAGUACUCCCAUGGCACAGUACUCCCAUGCCUGCCCACUGGUGCAGAAGGGACAUCCUGGUCCUGAGCAUGGCCUGCUGUGUCCCGAGGCUCGGAGACAAACCCUGGGCAGAGAGGAGAUGGAGCACAGGUGCCUGGGAACCCGGGAAAAGGUGCAGAGCAGUGACCACCAAACGUCAGACCCCAGCACAGCAGGCGGUGUUGCGGAGGUGAACAGAAUCAUCCCCUGAAAGCACAAGCCUCUCCGAUCCCAGAGUCACUGGGGCCACCUCCAUGCCUACCACGCUAAGGGCUCACACCUCCUCGCCAGAGCCCGGAAAUCAAUCUCGCCAGGACUGGUGGAGCGGGAAGUUAGACCUCCUUCCUGGCUAACUUCAGUCCUUGGGAAAAGUCAUUGAAAUGUUUACUACAGAGAAGAAAAUUAUACAGUUCACCGAGCUCAUUUCCAGCUCAUUUUAGUCUCUGAAAGUUUAAUUUUUUUGUAAACAAUAAAUAUCAAACGAUGUAUUUAGAGGGCUAGUGUGGUUUUAAAGACAUCCCCCCACACACACCAAGGUUACCCAAACAAUCUGAGCUAAAAAAAGAAAAUCAGCUCUGAAUUCAGCAUCAACAUGCAGUGAGGAGCAGUUAGUUCUGAACUGGGUUUGCACACGUGUUGGGGGGGUGCAAUAGGACUUUAAGGUUGUACCCCAUUCAUUGCAUGAAGAAAUCUCUUUCUAUGGGCUCUUGGUCCAGUGCUAGGACUCUGCAUGUUUCUGAGCGUAGAGUCUGGUCAGGCUGAACAAACAGAACAGUUAUGUGUGGGUCUGUGGGUCCCAGCAGUGUUGGAGGUGGGGGGCUGACUGCUCUUCCUGUGAGCCUUCAGCCCUGGUCAGCCAGGGAACAGAGCCCACCAGCAUGUCAGCUGGAGCAGCUUCCAACCCCAUCUGGUGGCGGUCUAUUGUAAAACGUGUCUCAAAGCCUGAGUACCAAGCUUCUGGCCUUUCUUUGAUGGGUAGGGAAAGCCUGAGAACACCCCACCUUCCCCAGUGUGGUGGGGCUUCGUUUUGAUUGUGGUCCCGGUGUCAAGUACUCAGCUCCAAGCUGGUUUUGUUUUCUUUGCUGAGGAUUGAAGCCAGGGCUCCCUGUGUUGCUAAGCUUGUGCUCUGCGCUGCCCGAGCCCCCAGUUAAAAGCCAGUGUCCUAACCACAGAGCCCAGGAGCGGCCCCUCCGAGGCCUCUCAUGGCAUCAGGAGAAAGAGUCCUACGGGUGAUCAUGUUCUACCCUGGGGUUUGUGCGGGUUCCUGAAAGGCAAACACAUCUGAGAAAUCCCGUCUUUGUCCUCCUCCCUGAAUGUUCUGCAGUCAGAUGGAAAGGCUAUAAAGAGCUAGUUGCUCCGCUGACUGAGGGCCACUUUUACAAGUCUUGCCUUUCCCCACGGCCACCUCUGGCCUUGGGUUCCCCGACCACAAACAGGCCUUUGUCCUCCUUGGCAGAUGGCAGUGACUAAAGUGACCUCGACUUGACACUUUUUUGGUUAGUGGUCAGAGAGCAAGACUAUCCCUGAGCAAACUUCCCAAGCAAAUGAGGUCCUUCAUCUCCACCCCCCCAGCCUGGCAGCAGGGUCCCCACUCUGCCUGCCUCUCUCCUUGGCUGUGGAGCGGCCCAGGCUGACCGGAGCCUGACAUUUAUUUCUCAAUCUCAGGAAGUCUUGCUUACUGAGAUAAAAUGCUGUCACUCUGACAGGGGCUCUGUAAAACCUGCAUGAGCAGAAGGAUAGAAUUUCCAGUGGUGUCACUUGGAGGGGGGGACAAGUUGGGACAGGUGGCUAUGGGAGCUUCACGCAGCCUCUCCUCCUGUGGAGACCCCUGCUUUGCACACAGGCAGGCUGGCCGCACAGAAAGGCUCACCAAAACCCUGAGUUUUGCACCCCACAGCGAAUUCCCACCUUUUUCCCUGAGGUGGAGCCCCUGUGCCCACAAGCCACGGCCCUCUGCUGCUUCUCUCUCCCACUGUGGCUGGUAGACCUGUGUCCUGACUUGCCUGUUCUGAAAUACAUAGCCGGGCACUUCUCAGAAGCAGGUACUUCUCGUUAAUUACCAGGAAGAAGAUGAAACAGGAACCAGCUCAGGAGCGUCCUCCUCCUGGGUCUGGAGCGAUGGGUCUGGGAGGGGAGAGGCUGAGGUGCAGAGGGAGUGGGGUGCUGCAGAGCAGCGAGAGGGCUGGUUCCUCCUUGUUGGGGACUAGAAGAGGAAGAAAGGGGGUUACUCCUUAUUACCCAGGCUUGGACACUCUAGGUCCAAGGGUCACCAAUGCAAUCCCCACUGGAAAAGGCCAAGGCCGGGACAACCAGUUGGUUCACUGCCUCAAGAAGCCAAAGGAACUCAAGUUAACGGGGUGCGUGGGGGGAUAAUAACAGUCAGGAUCCUACAGUGUGUGCUCUUUGUACUGGAAUAACCCCUGCUAAUGUCCCAUGAGUGGCAUCCUCGUGGCUACUUGCUGUUCUAUACCCCUGUCAUAGUGGGGAUCUGGAAUGUCGCCAAAGGCCACUGUGGAAGGCUGGGCCCCCAGCACUGGGCACUUCCGGAGGUGAUGGAAUCUUUGGAAGGCAGGGCCUAGUGGAAAGAAGUCAGGUAUCAAGUGUGUCCCUGCAGGGGACUCCAGCGCCCUCCUGUCUCUCAAUGCUUCCUGGCCAACAUGAGGUAAACAGGCCUCCUCUGCCAUGUGCUCCAUAGUGUACUGUGCCACCACAGGCCCAAAAGCAACAGGGACAAGUGACCACAAACUGAAUUCCCUGAAGCCAUGAGCCAAAAUUAGCUUUUCCUACUUAGAAAUUGAUGAUCUGAGGUGUUUUGUCACAGUGAUACAAAGCUGACCAACACCCUUCCCUCCUGGAAUACCAAAGCCACAGCCACAGGCUGCUCAGAGUUGGGCUGAGUGGAUCAGAAGAAGAAAACCCCUGUACACUGAGGCACGGCUUGACCUGGAGAUGGCUCAGGGCCCCUCCUACCUUCCGCAGCCUGUGGCCCUGAGAUCUCAGGGACAAGAUAGCCCAGGUUUCUGGUCUCCCAAUUUCUCCUAUUUUCAGAUCAUCCCAUCAGCCAUAGGUGUGAGAUGUUCUCAGCCUCUGAGAAGAUUUAACAGAAAAAUUAUUAAGUGUUAACACCAAGUGAGAGCAGAGAUCCAACAACGAGAAGCCAGGGGAACUAGAGCAUGAUGGGUCGAUUGUGCCACCCCAAAAACAUAUAUGAGCUUCCCACUAGCUCAGCACCUCAGUACUGCAGCUUUGUUUGGAUGGAGAAUCCGCACAGAGGGAAUCAGAUUGGACUGAGGUCACUAGGUGCGUUCUGAUCAGGAAGACAGAUGUAAAAGGGAGAAGUGUGGACACAGAGACACAGAAGACCAGCUAAACAGGAAGACAGGCCUCUAAAAGCCAAGGAGAGAGUAUCAGCAGCGCUGUCCCUCAGAGGGAAUUGUCCUGUGGACAUUUUUACUCGGAAAGUCCAGCUUUCAGAACGCGCCUCCAUGGUAGCUGCUCAGCCUGUGGCUGUUUUGUUACAGCAGCUGUAGCUGACCAAUACACAGGUGAGUUGGGCAGUUAGAUAUUUGCCUAGGCACACCCUGGGGUUCCCUCCAGCCUGGCCUAUGGUCCCAUCAUAAUAAGGGGACCCUGGUCCCCUCAGAACCAUUGAUGGGCUAGACUCCUGUUUUGCAAAACUCAUCACAGAUCACCACUAUUUUCUAGAGCAGCUGAGCCCAGAGACAGGGUGGGAGUUGCCGCCUGACCCUGAGAAGUUGUGGAAAAUAGGGAACAGUUAGAAUCUGAAUCACAUUUUGAACAUAAAUCAGUUAGCAGGUCAAAGAGCACUUCUGGGGCUCAGUGGCACAAAUGCCUGUCUAGCAAGCCCAAGGUCUUGAGUUUGAUUUCCAGUACCAAAAAGAAAAACAGAAAACUCAAAGUACUUUUGUCUCCUCACAAGCCUUGAUCUUCAUCCGGCCUAGGCUGUCUUCAAGUUCAGGCGGGGCUGCCCCUGUGUGUUAUUACUGGAUGGUGGUAAUGAAGGAGCCCACGCCUUUGAACCCACCUCAUUAACCGCACUCUCUCUUCCCGCCUCUUUCCCACAGCGUCUGGCAUCAAUUUUGCUGGGUUUUGCCUGGGAAUGGACGUGUGCCGGGUGCAGCCUGAGUGUGUUUGGAUUGCAGGUGUGGGCUUGUUGCACGAGGAGGCGCAGAAGGGGUGUGUCAAGGGUGGAGACCAAGGCUGGCUCGUGGGAGCAAGCUGGGGAGCAUCGCGGAGGGUCUCAGGACUACAGCACUUGUCUCUUUCCUUUGCAAGACGUGUAGGAAGCAGGCACGAUGGUGGAGGUCAGACGGAAGCCUCGGGGGUCAGUUAAACAGCUUGUUCUGACGUCUGGACACCGAGGUUGCUCUCGGGUUCAGGAGGCUGCUCAGGAGCGGGCUGUCUUCACUGGUCUGGUAACUGUGGUUCCCACCAGCUGCGCACUCUGCUGGUGACCCCUCCUGCCCCACUGGGCCCUGCUGUAACUACAAGGGCAGCACAUGAGACUUCUUUCCACAUGGAUAGGUAGUUUUGUCAAUCUAAUCCUUCCAAAUCAGGAGGAUUACAUUGGAUAAGCCAUUAAAAUUGUUCAUUAAAAUGUU